rnacentral:misc_RNA from 1 species
AAAUUAAAGGGAUUAUAUUGUAUUAUAUUUCUUCUUUCCUUCUUGUAGUUAUCUUCCUCUUUUAUUAGUUUCUUAGAAUAUCUAGACUUCUUUUAUAUUCAAGAAUUUUGUAUAUAACUAGGAAGAGUGUACAAGGCAAAUAUAUAUUGAAAUAAAAAACUCUUUUCUCUAAGAAUCCUUUUCAACAAGAGAUACACCCUUAGGUUUGACAUCGAUACCUUGAGCUUGCCAUUGCAUCCUUAUCCCCUCUUGUACUCGAUGGGUACAACACCAAAACCCUCCAUACACCGCCAUUCACUAUAGCCUCCUCCUCACCUAACCUUUUUACACAAACCCAUCUCCCUUGUUCCUCCAUCUCUCUUUUGAUUCUAUAGAUCCUAUUAGCACCCAAACCUAUGUCUUCUUCCCUUGCCCUCCUACAUACACCUUGUUUCAGAAGAUGAGGAGAUUUAGAACAACCUUGAACUUAGCCUCAUAGCAUAUGAACAUAACAUUUAGAACACAAGAUUCAGAAAUUGAGUAGGAGGCAAAUAAAAGGAAGAAGAAGAAAAUGAGAAUGAACAAAACGAGAUAGUGAAGAAAUGUUAGUGAUGUAGGGAAAUUUUUUUUCCGUUUAUUUAAAACAUGUGGGCUCAUCAGAAAAAAAAAAUGUUGCCACA